AGAGUUUGAUCCUGGCUCAGAUUGAACGCUGGCGGCAUGCCUAACACAUGCAAGUCGAACGGCAGCAUGUUUUGUAGCAAUACAGAAUGAUGGCGAGUGGCGAACGGGUGAGUAAUACGUAGGAAUCUUCCUUAAAGUGGGGGACAACUUCGCGGAAGCGAAGCUAAUACCGCAUGUUUUCUGUGGUUACACAGAACAAAGCAGGGGAUCGUAAGACCUUGCGCUUUAAGAUGAGCCUACGGCCGAUUAGCUUGUUGGUAGGGUAAAGGCCUACCAAGGCAACGAUCGGUAGCUGGUCUGAGAGGACGGCCAGCCACACUGGAACUGAGACACGGUCCAGACUCCUACGGGAGGCAGCAGUGGGGAAUAUUGGACAAUGGGGGCAACCCUGAUCCAGCAAUGCCGCGUGUGUGAAGAAGGCCUGCGGGUUGUAAAGCACUUUCGGUAAGGAAGAAAUACUUGGAGUUAACACCUUCAAGGGUUGACGUUACUUACAUAAGAAGCACCGGCUAACUCUGUGCCAGCAGCCGCGGUAAUACAGAGGGUGCAAGCGUUAAUCGGAGUUAUUGGGCGUAAAGCGUGCGUAGGUGGAUAUUUAAGUUGGGUGUGAAAUCCCCGGGCUCAACCUGGGAAUUGCGCUUAAUACUGGAUAUCUAGAGUAUGGUAGAGGAAAGCGGAAUUUCCGGUGUAGCGGUGAAAUGCGUAGAUAUCGGAAAGAACAUCAGCGGCGAAGGCGGCUUUCUGGCCCAAUACUGACACUGAGGUACGAGAGCGUGGGUAGCAAACAGGAUUAGAGACCCUGGUAGUCCACGCUGUAAACGAUGAGAACUAGGCGUUGGUCUCUUUAUGGGAUCAGUGCCGAAGCUAACGCGUCAAGUUCUCCGCCUGGGGAGUACGAUCGCAAGAUUAAAACUCAAAGGAAUUGACGGGGGCUCGCACAAGCGGUGGAACAUGUGGUUUAAUUCGAUGCUACCCGAAAAACCUUACCUACCCUUGAAAUACUCGGAAUCCUGCAGAGAUGCGGGAGUGCCUUCGGGAACCGAGAUACAGGUGCUGCAUGGCUGUCGUCAGCUCGUGUCGUGAGAUGUUGGGUUAAGUCCCGUAACGAGCGCAACCCUUGUCCUUAGUUGCCAGCGGUUCGGCCGGGAACUCUAAGGAAACCGCCAGUGAUAAACUGGAGGAAGGUGAGGACGACGUCAAGUCAUCAUGGCCCUUACGGGUAGGGCUACACACGUGUUACAAUGGGAAGCACAGAGGGUUGCUAAGUCGUGAGGCGAAGCUAAUCCCAGAAAACUUCUCGUAGUCCGGAUUGGAGUCUGCAACUCGACUCCAUGAAGUUGGAAUCGCUAGUAAUCGCGAAUCAGCAUGUCGCGGUGAAUCCGUUCUCGGGCCUUGUACACACCGCCCGUCACACCAUGGGAGUGUAUUGCACCAGAAGCGAGUAGGCUAACUGCGCAAGCGGAGGCCGCUCACCACGGUGUGGUCCAUGACUGGGGUGAAGUCGGAACAAGGUA
rnacentral:rRNA from 1 species